rnacentral:ncRNA from 1 species
CGGUAAAUUUGCCACAUCCGCCGCAAGACGGAGCCGGAAAGCCUUGGGUCUUGGUUCAAGACAGCCGGGUUGCCUCU